GUUUUUGAGAGCUUAAGUUAAUGUUUUAAAACAAUUUGUUGUAUUUGAUUCAUUAUAUUAUUGUAGUGUUAAUGAAGCUGCAGACACAGCUCCUUUCAACAUGGCCGGAGGAGAGGUGUACUGGCAGUCGCGUGACACACACAGAUCAGACACAUGUUUCUGUGUUGCAGAUGUGCAGUAAAGAGCCAAAGACCCAGUACUGUCUCCUGCCUCUUACUUUCACACCAGAACACAACGCAAGAACAACAGGCGUAACACAUGAACGGGUUACACAUACUGAGAAGAGGAGGCGAGAGGAGAGAACGAGAGUGCAGCAGUUUGGUGAAAGGAACAGGAAAGAUGAAGAAGAGGUGAGCAUCCAAGAGACGAGCAAGAGGACGGUUUCAAAGCAGACAUUAUGGCACAAUAAAAGCUGUAAGAGCAGAGAUUCAUUCAUGUCUUUACUAUUUUUCUUUAGCUUCUACUCCCGCUGCUUACAAUAAAUCUGAGAUAAAGAACAAACAAGAACAACUCACAUGGCAUUGAUUGUUUAGUUCAGUGUCACUCUGUGAUUGUUUGACAUUUCAUAUAAAUGUGACUCUAAACUAUAGCCAAUAAUAUUAAAAAGCUGCUGUUACUGAGUGAAACUUGAAGGAUUAUGAUAAACUUCAGUUCUUACUGAAUCUGUAACAUUGCUUUUUUUAAAAUUGUUAAAUGACUUUUGUGUCACUGUGCACAGUGAAAAACUCACCUGAUGGUGGUGUAGUGGUGAGGCCAUGUUCACCACUAGAUGGAGACAACCUGGCACAGGCCUCCUCCUGCUUCACUGCCAUAUAUCCAUCACCAGAGGGCUCCACUGACCUGCCUGCUGACAUCAGACCACACCCCUGUGUCAUGUGACCUGGCAGGAGUAGCAAAGCUGGACUCAGACCUGGCCCAGGCAAGUUCAAAGGCAGCUGUGGUAGAGAGAGUAUAUGGGCUCAAAUUGUGGUCAUAAAUAUUUUGUACUUGUAAAUCAGGAUUUGUGUGUGUAUGG